AUUGCUUCCUAGUGACAGACACUCAGACGGUCACUAGAGGUGCUUCCUGUGUCAGUGCGGAUUGGCUGAGAUCAUCAAGCUUGAUGAUCUCAGUCGUAGAGGCAGGGCCAGUCGGGGAGAGACCAGCAUGACGUGGGGGGGAAAAAAGGUGAGUAAAAACACACAUACCAUGACAGACACACACCAUGACACAGACACACACCGUGACACAGACAGAAACACACACACACACCAUGACACAGACAGAAACACACACACACCAUGACCGAGACACACACAUACCAUGACAGACACACACCUUAACACAGACAGACCGUGACACAGACACACACACAUGACACAG